CGUAAUAAUAAAUCAGAUCUGUACCAUAAUAUUAUUUUAAAUUACACAUGCGAGUUUUUAAAAUAUUGUAUUAUCACACUAUCUGUGGCACUGUAGUAAAGCCACAGAUCUAGUGCUAGAUCUGUGAGUAAAGCAGUUAAAACAUUUGUUUCGAUUGUCAAACUAGGGUUAAGCUACUUAGAGCGCGGUCAAUUUUUGGAUGGGCAAUUGGUAGUUAAUAUUUGAACUGAUUAUUUUCGUUAAGAGGUAUAAGCAUAUAUUGUAAUACUGUUACACAGUAUUUUAGAGGUUGUAUUCAAGAUAUUGUAUUAUUUAUCCUCCUCCUCCUAUGGGUCCUCCUGACACAGGUUUUUGUAAACUUACCAGGAGGACUCAUCUUUUAUUUUGUAAUCUAAGGACUCAUCCAUUUUCUGUAUUUGAAAAUUGUGUGUAUGAAAUAAAGAUAUUUUUCAUUUU